rnacentral:rRNA from 1 species
CCUACGGGGGGCAGCAGUGAGGAAUAUUGGUCAAUGGGCGGAAGCCUGAACCAACCAAGUAGCGUGCAGGAUGACGGCCCUAUGGGUUGUAAACUUCUUUUAUAUGGGAAUAAAAUGUUCCACGUGUGGGAUUUUGUAUGUACCAUAUGAAUAAGGAUCGGCUAACUCCGUGCCAGCAGCCGCGGUAAUACGGAGGAUCCGAGCGUUAUCCGGAUUUAUUGGGUGUAAAGGGAGCGUAGGUGGAUUGUUAAGUCAGUUGUGAAAGUUUGUGGCUCAACCGUAAAAUUGCAGUUGAAACUGGCAGUCUUGAGUACAGUAGAGGUGGGCGGAAUUCGUGGUGUAGCGGUGAAAUGCUUAGAUAUCACGAAGAACUCCGAUGGCGAAGGCAGCUCACUGGACUGCAACUGACACUGAGGCUCGAAAGUGUGGGUAUCAAACAGGAUUAGAUACCCCUGUAGUC